rnacentral:rRNA from 1 species
UACGUAGGGGGGCAAGCGUUGUCCGGAAUUAUUGGGCGUAAAGCGCGCGCAGGCGGCUUUGUAAGUCUGGUGUUUAAACCUAGGGCUCAACCCUGGGUCGCAUUGGAAACUGCAAGGCUUGAGUGCAGAAGAGGAGAGUGGAAUUCCACGUGUAGCGGUGAAAUGCGUAGAGAUGUGGAGGAACACCAGUGGCGAAGGCGGCUUCUGGUCUGUAACUGACGC